rnacentral:lncRNA from 1 species
AUUUAUUGGAGUUUGACAUAACAGUAAAUCAUCACUUGUCACAUUUAUAGUAUAUUGUAACACCCCAUAAUUUACAUAUAACUAUUAUAAUACCGGUUCUACAUAUUUCUAUACAAGCUUACAGUUUUUUUCAAAAUAUUCCUAAUACGUGAUUAGGACAUAUAGAAAUACAAAUAUUUACAAUAUAAGUUUCAAAAUCAACG